CCUUGCAAAGUAUAAAAGUUUUUGUUUUUACUAUUUCAACCAUAUUUAAGUGUACAAUUCAGGAGAAGUAAGUACAUUCACAAUGUUGUGCAACCAUUACCACUAAGUAUGAAAGGUUUUUAAUGACUUUACUGAAAUCACUUAGCUAUUAAGUAGUGGAAUGGGAAAUUUGAACUCAAGACUCUCCACCUCUAAAUUCACAGGCCAUUCAUUACCAAGGGGCCUACCAGUACCUCCUCUGAGUGACAGCUAAGG